AUUGGGCGUAAAGAGUUGCGUAGGUGGCAUUGUAAGUGGAGCGUGAAAGCGUGCGGCUCAACCGCAUUAUUGCGUUCCAAACUGCAAAGCUUGAGUAUGGGAGAGGUAGAUGGAAUUUCUAGUGUAGGAGUGAAAUCCGUAGAUAUUAGAAGGAACACCGAUGGCGUAGGCAGUCUACUGGCCCAUUACUGACACUAAGGCACGAAAGCGUGGGGAGCAAACGGGAUUAGAUACCCCGGUAGUCCACGCUGUAAACUAUGGAUGCUAGCUGUGACACACAUCGACCUGUGUCGUAGCGAAGUUAACGCGUUAAGCAUCCCGCCUGGGGAGUACGGUCGCAAGAUUAAAACUCAAAGGAAUUGACGGGGACCCGCACAAGCGGUGGAGCGUGUUGUUUAAUUCGAUGGUAAGCGAAGAACCUUACCAAGGCUUGAAAUCCCGAGAAGGCUCUCGAAAGAGAACUGUGCUUUAUUGAACUCGGUGACAGGUGAUGCAUGGCCGUCGUCAGCUCGUGUCGUGAGAUGUUUGGUCAAGUCCAUCAACGAGCGCAACCCUUAUAGUUAGUUGAAUUUCUCUAGCUAGACUGCCCUGGUAACAGGGA
rnacentral:rRNA from 1 species